rnacentral:rRNA from 1 species
GGUUAACGCUGGCGGCGUGCCUAACACAUGCAAGUCGAACGGUUCUAAGCGCGGGCUUAGGAUAGUGGCGAACGGGUGAGUAAAAGGUAGGAAUCUACCCCUUGGACGGAGAUAGCUACUGGAAACGGUAGGUAAACUUCGAUAAGCCCGAGAGGGGAAAGUGGUGAGACAGCCGAGGGAUGAGCCUACUCUCCAUCAGCUAGUUGGUGAGGUAACGGCUCACCAAGGCGACGACGGGUAGCCGGCCUGAGAGGGUGACCGGCCACACUGGGACUGAGACACGGCCCAGACUCCUACGGGAGGCAGCAGUGGGGAAUAUUGCACAAUGGGCGCAAGCCUGAUGCAGCAACGCCGCGUGGAGGAAGAAGUCCUUCGGGAUGUAAACUUCUGAACUAGCCGAAUAAAAGGCCUGUGGACACACAGGAGAAGAAAGUAGGCUAGGAAAAGUCCCGGCUAACUACGUG